AGGACAAAAUUGGAAUUUCAACUUGAGAAUAUUAGAAAAGGUGAGGGGCAAAAUUGAAAUUUUACAUGGGAGUCAUCAUCCAAUUCUUAGAAGAUUCAAGAGAAUUGGAGAAGAUAGAAGUGAGAAAAAUUGAGGAAAACAAAGAAGAAGAAGAAAAUCGGCUAAGGAAAAAAAUAGGGAGAAAAUUAAAAUCUUGCUCUAAAAAAUAUUUUCUCCUAGUAUUCCUACUAAUUCAAGGAUCCUCUACAACAUGAUGAAGUUAUUUUGGAAGAUAGGAGCCUUGUUUGGUUAAUUGGGUGUCUUGGUGAAGUGAAAAAGUUGGAAGGAAAAGAUUUUGGAGGAAACGGGAGUUGAAUUUGGACAAACGUGAAAAGCCGAUAAGGUACCGAAGUUCGAUUUGCUGAUCCAUCUGUUUAGGAUAUUUGCUGCGUCGUUGACAGUGCUCCCUUGUUAGGAGCUUGUAAUUUGGUACUGACUUUAUCUCUGUAUAUUUGGAUAUUUUGGUCAGGGGUACGACGGGGUCCUGUCCCGUCAUAUGACUAUGCUAUCAUCUGUAGAGGUCUGUAGACAGAGUUAUGUUGUGGGUUUUGUAUAUAUGGUUUGGGUUUUGUGUGUUUUGUGACGGCCUAUCAGCCCUCGUGCCUACAUCUAUAUUUUUUUGGAUCUAUUUAGCAAUUUGUUUCUAAUCACUACCUUUGUUUAUUCGGUUAAAAGGGCUAAUUUGGGAUAAGGGUACGUUUGGGUGAUUAAUUCGGGCACCAGUCGCGGCCUACGGGGUUGGGUCGUGACACAAUUGUCAAUAAAAGUUAUGAAAUACUUUUUUUUCCACCA